GAUGAACGCUGGCGGCGUGCCUAACACAUGCAAGUCGAACGAAGCACUUUGUUACGAUCCCUUCGGGGUGACGACUUUGUGACUGAGUGGCGGACGGGUGAGUAACGCGUGGGAAACCUGCCCUAUACCGGGGGAUAACAGUUGGAAACGACUGCUAAUACCGCAUAAGCGCACGAGAUGGCAUCAUCUAGUGUGAAAAACUCCGGUGGUAUAGGAUGGUCCCGCGUCUGAUUAGCUAGUUGGUGAGGUAACGGCCCACCAAGGCGACGAUCAGUAGCCGACCUGAGAGGGUGACCGGCCACAUUGGGACUGAGACACGGCCCAAACUCC
rnacentral:rRNA from 1 species